GGCUUCGCCUUCGCCUCUGCCAAGCAUCGAACUAAGUUCCUUCUUCAAAGAUGACCCUGCUUGACCGCUGAUCUACAUCACAUCAUUGUUCCAAGUGGAUUCAUUUUAUUUAUACACCCAAUUCUAACCUGUAAAUAGUAUUUUUUUACACGAUCCUCGAAUUUCUCAUUGUGAUGAGAGAUAAUCAGAUCACGAGAUGUGCCCCUCUUCUUCCGGUUUGCAUAAAGAUUAACAUCCCAUGCUGCGGCUGAUAGAAAAUGAAAAGGCACAGGGUUUUCUAUAAAUCAACAUGGUAUUUGCUUGAAGUGUGGGGAUGCGCGGUGGCGGAGAGUUGAAGUUGGUCUCAACUCUUUCGUUUUUUGUUUCUAUGUUGCAUUUUAGAAUAUUUUCUGUUGCUUAUUUGUGUCCUAUGUUUGAAGAUAUUGUCUUAUUUGUGCAUUUCUAUUUACUUUGAGACGUAUUUUGAGAAUAAAUGAGUUUUGCUUCGCAUCAUAGUAGAUUGUGUUUCCGCAGGUAAGUUGAAAUCUUAAGAUGCUCUUGACAUCUCUUUAGUCCAGUUAAGUAUAUUGAAUUAUUUUAAUGCUUGGCUAUGAAAUGAGAAUAUUGAGAUGAGAUUGUGUUUCGCCAUAAAAUUAAGAACAUCUCUGUUAUAUAGGAAGUCAUUUUUCAAAUAAGGGAUUAAUUAAUUUAACGUAUUCCAAGUUUGAAAGAUUUCUUGAAAUAAAAAAACAAGGGUUAAGGUUACAGUAAAAACGUUGUAGCUAGAGCCCAUGUUUAAUCCUUCGCGUUCAGUACCAUUACUAUUUUCUCGCUCCAUUUCAAAAUUUGCACCUUCGAGUGCUUAUUUUCCAUGAAGAAAAUCUACUGACUCUUCUAACUAAAUCCCAAAAGGAUAGUUCUCCUGGCUUUGUUAGUUCUUCAAAUCCAAUGGUUACUCUCAGACAAAAGCUUUGCUAAAGCCAUGGCAGAAGCAAAGUGCAAAAAUCAUGAAAAUGAAGGGAACAUGUCACCUUUGUCAUGAGGUAAAUCUUCAAACUAGUUCACUAUAAGGGAGAUAAAGACACAAUACUUGUAAAGUAGUCUUCAUUAUCAAUGCGGAAACAUUCUAAAACUGUGAAACGUUUGGCUAUGAGAUGUGAGAGAUCCUAGACAUUCCUACUUCUUAGAAAAGGGAAUAGCAGAGAGCUCUCCGUCAACAUGCUUGCUUUCUCACGAGAGUAAAUUGGUCAUUUCAUGCGUUGUUAUGCUUAAAUUGUCUAUUGUGCCCGUUUUUGUUGUUGACGUGUUCUGAUCUGAAGUGGAGUCCACAGCUACUUCGCUAACUUGUCACGAUGUCAGUCACCACUGGGCUCUCUUGGUUAAUCUUUUUUCUCUCUCCUCACGUCAACGCUCAAGUUUUGUUAUUCUAAGGUAAUUCGAUAGUUCAAAACUUAGUUUACUGAUCUAUGUUUUCGUAUGACGAAGUUUCAUCUCUGUUCUUGUGACUUUCUGGUUUUGUGUUCUUCCUAUGGCCUUUAAUUCCUCUGUAAGUUUCUUUUUGCUUUAAUAUUUCACUUUGUUUUUUGAAUGUUUACUGUCGUCUGAUUGCUUCGCCCAGCUUUGUAAUUGAUUUGUUUUAUUGACAUGCAAAUGGGUAAUUUGUGCAAAAAUUGGUUUGAUCCUUGCAAAUUUUGACAUUUUACAGCUGGAUAACACUCUAUUGGCAGUCUGUGGCAAACUACUUAAAUUUAAUUUGAUUUUUACGCCAUAGAUCACCAAAAAGUUUAUUGUCAGAUCUGAUGCAAACUGUAAAGAGGAAAAUUUACAGUGAUGGGAAGUUCACAUGUAGAACAGCGGUUUCUCACUGUGAAUGUUUAAGCUAUGAGAUUGUAGUUUAGCUAUGAGAUCAUAAGACUUUGCACAUGUCCUUUAUACAGAAAGCUUCAACGAAACAGUGUUAAAAGGAAACCUGCUUUUUUGCUUAAACAUUUGAAGAACAUGUUGCAUAAAAAUUCCUAUAGGCAUGAUUACUAAGUGCAAAUAGUUAGAACAUAUGUGUGCACGAUCCUGAGAACAAGUGUCCAUAUGGAGAGGGUUGGCUCCUAGCUCGCUACAGUCCUAGAAAUUGCUCUGCUGUUACUAUCGAGAUAUCUCACAGUAAUAAGUUUGUGAAGAAAUGUCUUCUGACCGAAGGAACAAACAUAUAAAGAAGAUACAAAAGAGGAAUCCUUAGUGGAAAAGCUGAUUGCAGAAGCAUCCGUAGGAGAAGAUUGUUGUGUUAUUAUAUUCACUGGCAUCUGAUCCAUAUCAGCAGGUACUGCUGGAAGACCAUAUGACUUUGGCAUUAAGGCUUCUGUAUUUGUUGGUAUGUACAUCCAAAGCAUUCCACUGACAUGAAAUAACAAAAUCAGAAAUAGAUGGCUUAUAAAGAGUAACAUUUAUGUGAUAACUCUAUAAUCUUCUAUUUCUCUUUUGGACACAAGCUCAUUCCUUGCGGAUAUUGUCACUAUACCUCAAUUUAUAAUAGUAAAGCUUUGUUCA